AAGAAAAUCUUGGGAACACACAUACAUGCACCUGAUGGAGUCCAUACAGCUAACACAGGCAGAACAAGGUGCGCUGCCUCUCAUGUCUGUGCAAGGCUUGGCUGAGAAGAAGCUGCAAGCAGGGCUGGAACCAUGAGUUCAAGUAUCCCAGUUACAUCUCCUCUGCCAUAGCCAUCAAGGAACUCUGAGAAAGGACUACCACUGGCCCUAGCCUCACCCAUAUCAAGCUAGCUUCCCCCAUCCCAUUGUCCUGUCCUUUUGACAGACUGGCCUGUGCCAGGAGUGUCCCAGUUUCAUCUACUGCAUAAUGGCCAGCAAGGAACUUUGAGGCAGGGCCACCACUGCCAUAGACCCAUCAAGCUCCAACUAGCUUCCCCUGCGCCAUUGCCCAGGCCUUCAGCCAGACUGGCCUCAGCUUGCUCACUGGCAGUGUUCCAGUUUCAUCUGCAGCCCUGUGUUCUGCAAGGGACUCUAAGGCAGUGCCACCACCAGCUCUAUCACCACUCAGUUCCAGAUAGCUUCUCCAUCCCAUUGCCCUAUACUUUACCAAGACUGGCCACUGCUUGCUAGCCAACAAUAUCCCAUUUUUAUCUACUUUCUAUGGCCAGCAAGGGACACUGACCCAGGAAAACCACUGGCCCUAGCCUCAUUCAGCUUCAGCUAGCAUAAACCAUCCCAUUGCCCAAUCAUUUCAAUAGCAAUGAUCCAGUUUCAACUACUGUCCCAUGACCAGCAAAGGACUUUGAGGCUGUGCCACCAUUGAUCCUGGCUUCUCAGCUCCAUGUAGAUACCCCAUCCUCUUGCCCAGUCCUUCAUCCAGACUGGUCACUACUUGCUCACCAGCAGCAUCCCAGUUUUAUCUACUGCCCCGUGGCAGGCAAGGAACUCUCAGGCAAGUCCAUCGCUGGCCCUAGCCCCACCCAGUUCCAGCUUGGUUACCCCAUUCCAUUGUGCUAUCCUUCAGCAAGGGCUCAUCUCUCUUUUGGAGUCUGUUUUACCCACCAGCUGACCUACGACAACUGUCAGCAACUUCUCCAGACUUUAUUCACAUCAGAGAAAAGAGAAUAAAUCAAGGUGGAAUCUUGGAAACUUGUUCUGGGUCCAGAUGGUUAGAUCAACACAAAUUAUGGUAAGGAGGCUGUCAAUGGGUAUUGCUAGCCUCCACUGAGCAGGGUUAGAGUAGUGCUAGGGAAGCCCAUCAACCUAAGGCAUGCAGUGUCCAAGGAAGUCUCCCACGGCCUUUCUAGAGAGAUUCUUUGGGGCCUAUCAGCACUAUACUCCCAUGAACUUGGAGUCCCCAGAGAACAGGUGAGCAAUGAGCAUCUCAUUCUGACCCAGUUAGCCCCAGACAUUAGGAGAAAACUACAAAAGUUAGAGGGAUUUGAGGGAAAAGUAUUAUUCAAACUUGUGGAGAUAGCUCAGAAAGUCUUCAAUAACUGACAGGACAUAGAGACUGUCUAAACUCAAAAGAUAAUACAAAAUCAAGAAGGUCCACAUGGCAGGGACAGGGAGGUCAAGGAACCACCGAGCAGAAAACUGAGAUGACCCAAUCUGGGAAAAUGUAGACAAUCUCUUUCUGGCAGCUGAGACAAGGGACCAAUGCCUCCAGGCCACACAGUCCCUGCUGUAGACUCUGGCAGACCUCAAGUAUUAAGGUUCAGCCAAGAAGACCCAGCUCUGCACCCCUCAGGCCACAUAUCUGGGAUACAUUCUGGAGGGAGGUAAGUAGGUAAGUGGACUCUCUUCAGGCCACAUCCAAGCCAUCUUGAACAUCCUCACUCUGACCACAAAGCAACAGGUGCAAGAGUUCUUUGGUGUCAUGGAUAUUGCCACCUCUGGAUUCUGGACUGUCCAAAUAGCCAGAUCCCUUUAUACCAUGAUGUGGUGAGGAAAGGAUAUAGACUGGAGUGGGAUGAAGGUAUAGGAAUGAGCUUUCCAGACCCUGAAGACUGCUUUGGAGAGUAACCAGCUUUAGGCCUCCCUUAUAUCUCAAACUCAUUCCAACCAUACAUUGCUGAGUCAAAGGGCAUCUUGAAAAGGGUCCUAAUGCAAACUCUGGGACAAUGAAAGUGGCCUAUGGCCUACUUAUCCAAGAGGCUAGAUUCAAUGGCAUCACAAUGGCUAAAUUGCCUUCACAAACAGGGUAGCCACAGAUGUUGUUCUAAAGCCAGUGGGACCCCUGCAAAUCUUCUCCAGGAUUCCUCCUUGAACCUUUGCUGAAAAGCCCAGAUACACUCUGGAGGAAAGAAGAAUUAGUCAAUGCCCUAGGUGCCAUAGAUCAACCUGAGGGAUGGAAAGACCUGCUUGAUGGAUGGGUGACUCUCUUCCCAGAAGCUCUAGGAUAUGGCCUCAUCUCCUUAAUCCAUCAGAACACUUGUCUAAAGAAACAAAGGUAAUAGGACUUCUCAAGAGGGACUAUCAUUUUCCUGGACUGGCAAACAUUGCCAAAGACACAGCUAGAAGAUGUCCCAUCUGUGCUCAAGUAGACCAUGGAAAGUCAGUUCCUUAAUACUAUGAGACCCAACUUUGAGGACAGAACCCUGAAGAACACUGAAAAGUAGAUUUCACUGAACUCUUUUGUGGGUUGGCAGGAUACCACUACCUGCUGGUGUUCAUAGAAACUUUCUCUGGUUAGCCAGAGGCAUACCCCACCAAGUCCAAGACAGCACAGGUAGUUGCUUAAUUAUUGUCUAAAAUUGUCCCACAUUUUGGGUUAUAACAAUAACUCUGGGGUCCAACAAUGGCCUGGCAUGUUACUCAGUUAUUGGCAAAAUCUUCACUCUGUCUAUCAACCUCAGAAUUCUAGACAAGUAGAGAAAAUAAAUAGGAUGCUUAAAAAGGCUUUAACCAAGUUGAAAUUGGAGACUGGUUAAAAACUGGGUGAGUCUUCUUCCAUUGCCCUUCUGUGUGCACAUUGCACCCCUUAUGUGUAGGAGUGAUUCUCUUUAAAAUAAUAUUUGAAAAAAAACAAUUUUGAAAGGAUGCCUCCACUUGUACUCAAGAUUGAUGAGGAGAUAAAAGGGGAACUUUAUAACCAUGCCCUUUUGAAGUCCCUGCAAGCACUAUAGAUAUCAGAAACAGACACAACACCUUCUCCAGGAAGCUUACCAGCCUUUAGGUCUUCAACCUAGCUGACGCCCACUGGUGACCUACAGCCUGGGGACUUGAUCUGAAUCUGAAAGCAAGAACCUUUCUCACUGGAGACCUGUUAGACUGUCAUCCUGACUAUGCCAAUUAUAGUCAAGUUGCCAGAGAGCGACGUUGGAUUCACCACACCCAAGUAAAAAGGAUGACCCUCAUUGGGACUGACAAAUGACACAUCCCCCUGCAUAAGUUCUAGGUUGUUUCAGAACUCUGAGUUUCCCCCACACUUUUGGACUUUAAUCCACAGCCUGUUACUCUGGGGAGGGAGGCCAAAAGAAAACAAAACUCUAAAGGCCCUCUCAGCCCAGGAAAAGAAAA